UUCAUUUUCGCCGCCACCGCUGCCUGCCACUAGUACGUCUGCGUCUGCAGGUCAACGCCUGGAAAAACUUUGAAAAUUGUUAAAAAAUAUUUCAAAUAACACAAUAAAUCAAAGAAAAUCGUACCAAAAGGUGCAGAAAGUGUUGGUGACAAGGAAAAACAAAAUAGUUUAGAAAAAUUUGCAGUGCUUUUGCAAUUUAUCGGUGCGAAAAAACGCCGAAGUAAUAAAAAAGAAGAAGAGCAGCUGCAAGAAGCAUCACAAGGGGACAGCAUUGCAAGCGUUGUUGCCAAAAGAAGGCGUUGGAUACACACAACGAGGAAAGCUAUCCAAAGCCAAAGACAAGGAAAGCAAAAAAUCAAGAGUCGGGGCAAAGGAAAGGCGAGAAAUAAAAUCAAUUAUUUUAGGAAGGGGUAGUAGAGUGCAGCGCAAGUUUUGUUCCCGCUUUUACCGCUCAUAAAAUACCGGCCUUAAGUGUGUAUACAUCGGUAGCUAACCUACGCUUCGAAUAUAAAGCAUUGAUUUUCCACAAUUGGAAUUUGAAUUCCUUGCUGAAGUGUUUGUGUUUUUACGUGUUAAAUAAAUUUCGUCGCUAAACUGUUUUGACGCGUUGUAUACUGCAAAAUGGGCGCGUACCUAUCCGAACCAAAAACGGACAAGGUGUCUACGGACGAGUCUAAUGAUAUAUUGACAGUGGGAGCUAGCUCUAUGCAAGGUUGGCGCAAUAAUCAGGAAGACGCUCAUAAUUCCAUUUUAAAUUUUGAUACAAAUACCUCAUUUUUUGCCGUUUACGAUGGGCAUGGGGGCGCCGAAGUGGCUGCCUAUUGUGCGGAUCAGCUACCGCAUUUUCUAAAGAAAUUGUCUACUUACAAAGAUGGCGAAUUUGAAAAGGCUUUAAAAGAAACAUUUUUGGGUUUUGAUAAAACACUGCUGGAGCCACAAGUGGUAGAGAUAUUAAAGUUUUUGGCUGGCGAAAAAGGUUUUGAUGGCGAUGAUAGCGAUGCCCAUGAGGAUGAUGAAGAUUUUGAAGAUUUGGCUGAGCUUCACGAGGAAAGUCAUUUGCCUUUAGAUGAAGUUUUGGAAAAAUAUAAAGGUGGACCAUGCAUGCCAUCGCUAAAACGUGUUAAAGAUGGAGCAACUGGUACUAAACCGCAAUCGCCUUACUUGCGUGGUAGGCGCGCAGCCGCUGUAAUAGCCGAUGCUACAAAUAAAGCAGUACUGGAUCCAGAAUCCAAACCAGAGGGAUCCUCUACAUCAGCUGCCGCCACGGCCGCUGCCAUAUCGGGCGAAAGUGGUCCCAGUUCUUCGCACAAACCAUCAUCUGUAGGUACAUCGUCAAAGACAGAUUCCAUAACUUCCGAGUCAGGUCCAAGUUCAUCAAAUAGCGGCAAUAUAGCAAAAAUGGACACAGAUGAGCCCGAGGAAGAUUCUACCGUCAGUAGCAGCAGCUCGAGUGCAAGUAAACCCACUAAUAAUGUUUCUGCCGAGCCAGAAAACAACAAACCUGAAAGUAACGCGGAAAAGAAUUCUGCAAACGGUCCUGGAACAACAGUGGCCACUGACAGUGCAUCGUCCUCGGAAAACAACAAGGAAGUUUGCCCGGAUUCCUCGCAUACCAAAGAGGUGGAACAGAAUGGUAGUGUAUCUUCAUCAGAGAAAAAGCCAAUUAAAAAACAGAAUGCUGCAAGCGCAGAAAUGGACACAACUGUUUCCGGUUCAAAUGAUGCUGCGAAGAGAAUACAAAAUGGCACCAUUGGAAGUACAUCAUGCUCUGCAGCAAAUAAACAAGUGGCUGGUAGCACUACAAUAACUUCCACCAGUAAGGAAUCCAAGAAGCUUAAGAAAACGGAUGUAAGUGGAGAGGAAGAAUCCACCGAUGAUGAUGCCGAUUACGAAGAGAAUACUGAAGAAGGUGAUGCUAGACAGAGUUUGGUGUAUUCCUCUGAAGACGAAGAAAUUGAAGAAGCUGAGAAUUCAAGUGUAUAUUCGUCGGAUGAAGAGAUUGAAGAAGAAGAGGAAGAAGAUGAAGAAACCGCACUUGCCAACGAGCAAUUCUGUGCCGAUAUGAUUGAAGAGCCCGGCAAGGAUAGUGGCUGCACUGCUGUUGUCGCACUAUUAAAUGGUCGAGAUCUAUAUGUGGCGAACGCUGGCGAUUCGCGAUGUGUAGUUUGCCGCAAUGGCAAAGCUAUCGACAUGAGUUUGGACCAUAAGCCGGAAGAUGAAGAGGAAUCAGCGCGUAUUAUAAAAGCUGGUGGUCGGGUGACUUUAGAUGGUCGUGUGAAUGGUGGCUUGAAUCUUUCCCGUGCUAUUGGAGAUCACGCCUACAAAAUGAAUUUGGAAUUGCCCGCCGAAGCGCAAAUGAUAUCUGCGUUACCGGAUGUGCGAAAACUUAUUAUCACACCAGAGGACGAAUUCAUGGUAUUGGCUUGUGAUGGCAUUUGGAACUAUUUAUCUAGCGAGGAAGUUGUCGAUUUUGUGCGUCAACGUUUGAAGGACGAUUCCAAAAAGAUGUCACAAAUAUGUGAGGAGCUUUUUGAUACAUGUUUGGCUCCUAAUACCAUUGGUGAUGGAACGGGCUGUGACAAUAUGACAGCAGUCAUUGUACGUUUUGAAUCCAAAAUUUUGGAUUUACCAACUAAACUAAGUCCCGAGGAAAUUGUGCUUAUUAAGGAUGUUACCGCUAAAACUUCUAACACUAACACAUGCGCCCCAAAGAGUGAGCAACCAUGUCUUAAACGCGCAGCCUCCCCAAGUUCCGAUGACAAUUCCAACGAAGCCGAAAAUGCCAACAAAACCAAACGUUUGAAGACUGACGAGGAAACCACCUCAACAACAACCAACACAAAUAAGUCCACAGUUGAGACAUCUGCAUGCAGUAACAGCGAUGCAGCGGCCAGUAGCAGCACUUCAGAGGCAGCGGCAGCAGUUGCAAGUAUUACGGAUCUAAAGGAUUGCGAUAGUAACACUACGGCCAGCAGCAAUGAUGCAGCGGAUACUGAUAAUAUCGCAGUAUCUUCGACGUAAAUACGUACAUAUAUAAUUUGUUAAAAGCCAGCAGCAAUUGGAGUGUGUGGAAUCCAAAAUUGGUUGACUCCAUUUAAUAUAUAAAGAAGGGAUUAUAUGUUUAAUUUUUAAGAAAAUCACAAAAUCUCGUCUGCAUGAGAGUUCUAAUUUUCACAAUGACUAAUAUUAAGAUUUUAAAGCGAUUCGAGGGAGAAUCAACAAUACCAAGUUUACAGUGGAUUCUUGUAAUACCUUUUGUACGAAAUAUUGACCAAUCCAAUAGCAACAAGAACUGGAGUAAUAUUUUCUUGAGUUCAACAUAAAAUAUACGUUUAAUUUUGGCAUUGGAAGUUGUAACGUACACUCAUUGCACUCUAAUUACACCGAUGAUACUUUAGAUCAACAGACCCAACUAUUCGUAAUUAUCACACUUUAUUGUUGCAUAUCCGUAAGCAAGACGUGCACGUACAUACAAACAUACACAGGAGUGCAUUGUCGGAAGUGAAUACUAGCGAUGGCGGAGCAGCAUUUUAAUUUUCAUAUAAUACACUUAUAUAUUUUGUAAAGUAAAUUACAGAUAACUCGUACGUAUACAUAUACAAGAAGGCAUAAUUUUAAUUAAUUUACAAAAUCAAUAUAUACACAAUGAAAUGGUAAAUAAAAUGAAAUAAAAUACUUAGUUUUUAAAUAAAGUAAGGUCCCCAACAGUUAUAAUAAAA